UACGUAGGGGCCGAGCGUUGUCCGGAGUUAUUGGGCGUAAAGCGCGCGCAGGCGGCUUCGCGCGCCCGCCGUGAAAGCCCCCGGCUUAACCGGGGAGAGUCGGUGGGGACGGCGGAGCUUGAGGGCGGGAGAGGUCGGUGGAAUUCCCGGUGUAGUGGUGAAAUGCGUAGAUAUCGGAAGGAACACCAGUGGCGAAAGCGGCUUCCUGGUCCAGCACCGACGUUCAGGCACGAAAGCGUGGGGAGCAAACAGG
rnacentral:rRNA from 1 species